UAACAUCAGUGGCAGACGGGUGAGUAACACGUGGGAACCUUCCUAGAGGUACGGAACAACGCAGGGAAACUUGCGCUAAUACCGUAUAAGCUCUUGCGAGGAAAGAUUUAUCGCCUUUAGACGGGCCCGCGUAGGAUUAGGUAGUUGGUGGGGUAACGGCCUACCAAGCCUACGAUCCUUAGCUGAUCUGAGAGGAUGAUCAGCCACACUGGAACUGAGACACGGUCCAG
rnacentral:rRNA from 1 species